rnacentral:rRNA from 1 species
GAUGAACGCUGGCGGCGUGCCUAAUACAUGCAAGUCGAGCGAACAGAUAAGGAGCUUGCUCCUUUGACGUUAGCGGCGGACGGGUGAGUAACACGUGGGUAACCUACCUAUAAGACUGGAAUAACUCCGGGAAACCGGGGCUAAUGCCGGAUAACAUUUAGAACCGCAUGGUUCUAAAGUGAAAGAUGGUUUUGCUAUCACUUAUAGAUGGACCCCGCCGUAUUAGCUAGUUGGUAAGGUAACGGCUUACCAAGGCAACGAUACGUAGCCGACCUGAGAGGGUGAUCGGCCACACUGGAACUGAGACACGGUCCAGACUCCUACGGGAGGCAGCAGUAGGGAAUCUUCCGCAAUGGGCGAAAGCCUGACGGAGCAACGCCGCGUGAGUGAUGAAGGUCUUCGGAUCGUAAAACUCUGUUAUUAGGGAAGAACAAAUGUGUAAGUAACUGUGCACGUCUUGACGGUACCUAAUCAGAAAGCCACGGCUAACUACGUG